GGCAUGUCAAACCUGCGCCGCGCUUUGGCACACGCGGGGACUUCCCCUCGUCUCAGCGAGCCCGGAUCCAGUAAAUGAAAAUUCUGAGCCUGCUAGUUACUUGGAUGGAGAGUCCCUGAUGGCAAUUUAUAGACUGUGUAUUGUGACUAACGAUCACUGGGUCACUGGGAUUUUUUUGAAGGCUUUCAGGUUUUGCCUGGCAAGCCACCUUAACGAGAGUGGAACAUAAAGAAGACAGCGGUGACAGCCAGCACAACACUCUAUGUCCAUGGAGGUUAUUCCACUGCAUAGCCCUCAAUCAUCCAUAUCCCCGUUUAUGCUCCUCUAGUUGAACUGUGUCCACAGGAAGAUCCUGUUCUUGCCGCAAGCUGCUCUGCGUGGGCUGACUUCACUGACUCUGAUCUGAAACUCCAGACGGAAGAAGGGUGGAAGUACCAGCAGGACAAAGGUUCACACACAGGAAGGCUCCCUCAAUAUUUUAUUCACCUGGAAAACAGGAAAAUACCUAAGUUGUACUCAGUAAUUUCCUCACCUGUAUGAUUAAAAAGACUCUUUCAAA